rnacentral:rRNA from 1 species
AGUGAACGCUGGCGGUAGGCCUAACACAUGCUAGUCGAACGGCAGCACAGUAAGAGCUUGCUCUUACGGGUGGCGAGUGGCGGACGGGUGAGGAAUACAUCGGAAUCUACUUUUUCGUGGGGGAUAACGUAGGGAAACUUACGCUAAUACCGCAUACGACCUACGGGUGAAAGCAGGGGAUCUUCGGACCUUUCGCGAUUGAAUGAGCCGAUGUCGGAUUAGCUAGUUGGCGGGGUAAAGGCCCACCAAGGCGACGAUCCGUAGCUGGUCUGAGAGGAUGAUCAGCCACACUGGAACUGAGACACGGUCCAGACUCCUACGGGAGGCAGCAGUGGGGAAUAUUGGACAAUGGGCGCAAGCCUGAUCCAGCCAUACCGCGUGGGUGAAGAAGGCCUUCGGGUUGUAAAGCCCUUUUGUUGGGAAAGAAAAGCAGCAGGUUAAUACCCCGCUGUUCUGACGGUACCCAAAGAAUAAGCACCGGCUAACUUCGUG